rnacentral:misc_RNA from 1 species
CACAAUCGGAGCAACAAUCAACCCUACAUUUUUACUCCCGGGACCUUUCCCAUUCUUGUGAUUCACUUGGCAGUGUGCAGCCACAAGCUGAUGCUUGCUGUCUCCAGUCAAACAAUUUCCAGCAACCUUAACCACCCUCUUGUUGAAAUCAGAGUUCAGGCAAGGCGGUAAACUUCCGGUCAAUUUAUUAGCAGAGAGAUCGACGAAUCCCAG